rnacentral:rRNA from 1 species
UAUGUAGGCAGCGAGCGUUGUUCGGAAUUACUGGGCGUAGAGAGUGUGUAGGCGGUGCUCUAAGUUCGGUGUGAAAUCUCCUGGCUUAACUGGGAGGGUGCGCCGGAAACUGGAGUGCUUGAGCGUGGGAGAGGAAAGCGGAAUUCCUGGUGUAGCGGUGAAGUGCGUAGAUAUCAGGAGGAACACCUGUGGUGUAGACGGCUUUCUGGACCAUUACUGACGCUGAGGCACGAAAGCGUGGGGAG